AUUGAACGCUGGCGGCAGGCCUAAUACAUGCAAGUCGAACGGUAACAUAAAAGAAGCUUGCUUCUUUUGAUGACGAGUGGCGGACGGGUGAGUAAUAUUUGGGAAACUACCUGAUAGAGGGGGACAACAGUUGGAAACGACUGCUAAUACCGCAUAAAGCCUGAGGGUGAAAGCAGCAAUGCGCUAUCAGAUGUGCCCAAACGGGAUUAGCUAGUAGGUGAGGUAAAGGCUCACCUAGGCGACGAUCUCUAGCUGGUCUGAGAGGAUGAUCAGCCACAUUGGGACUGAGACACGGCCCAGACUCCUACGGGAGGCAGCAGUGGGGAAUAUUGCACAAUGGGGGAAACCCUGAUGCAGCGACGCCGCGUGAACGAAGAAGUAUUUCGGUAUGUAAAGUUCUAUCAGCAGGGAAGAUAAUGACGGUACCUGACUAAGAAGCACCGGCUAAAUACGUG
rnacentral:rRNA from 1 species